CACUCACUACGAUCUUCAUACAAAUCCCUCUGAUUUCUCUAUCUCUUCCUCUCCCUCGUGUUCCUUCACAGUUCAUACAAAUCCAUCACAAAUCGAAAUGAGCAAUUCAGUUUUUCAAAUUCAUGCUUGCAUUUGCAAGAUUCUACUCAAGUUGAAGCUUUUGAGCAAUUGGAAACUAAGUUUACGUGAAAGUAAGAAGGAGAAUUUUGGCUCCGGCAUCUCUUCCAGAAAGGAAGAAGCAGGUCAGAUUUUUGUUUCUGCUCCUAUUAUCAAAAGAACUGAUCUGUUUUCCCUUGAGACUGCGGAUGGUAUAUAUGUUUACACUAGGGGUUUCAUGAACAAGCAGCGUACACUGGAAAAUGGUUUUACUCCUCAGAUUUCAAAGAGUUUUUUAUAUGGUUUUCCUCCAAAUUGGGAAAGCUAUGCUCUAGAAUGCAUCAAAGAAGAAUUUGAAGCUGGUAUUGAUUUGGCUAAUGCUGUUCCAGAGAAUGUAUCUACAAUUUGUCACGAAAUCUUGUAUGAUGGUGAGGAAAAUUCCAUUCCUACUCCGUUGGUGUUUCCUGAAGAAGCCCCAGGAGAAUGCAAUAAACCAUCCGCUGUAGACAAAUGCAAAGUCUCAAAGGAGAUGAGUGGGGUUGAUGUUGCUUAUGGUAGUGACGAAAAUAGACGUUGUACCAGCUUGUAUAAUAGUAAAGUUUGUCAGCAGCAGCCUGCGUCUGGAGGUCCUCUCAAGCAUCCAGAUACAGAGCAGAGCUCUACCUCGAUGGAAGUGGAAAAUCGUAAUCCGGAUACUGCUAUUUCUAAUAAUGUAUCCGCAAAUCUUCCAGAAAUAUCACCUGGUGCUGUGGAAAAAUCUUUUCCUACUUCUUUUGUAUCAUCGGAGAAGGCCACAGGAGAUUAUAAGUCAAUUAAAAUGAGUGAGGUCAAUGUUGUUCAUGGUAGUGGUGGGAAUAGACGUAGUGUCCGGUUGCAUAAUAUUAAACUCAGCCAGAAGAAGCAACCUGCUACUGAAGGUCCUCCAAAGUAUCCAAUUGAACGCCAUAUCUCUGCCUCAACAGCUUUUGAGAUAAGUGGUGGAGGACAGGAAAGUCCAUCGAAACCCGUUCAAUCAAAAUUGAAGGGACCAGUAAAUGCAUUGUCUGAGCAGGUCAGAAAUAAAUUCACAUCCAGAGUAUGCAAAACUACGCCAGCAAAAACUGACCGAUGAUAUAAGAGAAAAAGGGUUACAAUUAUUAAAUCCACAUCUUCUGUGAAAUCUUCACAAGAAAGGAAUGUAAGUGACUUGAACAAGGGUAGUAAGAAGAGAUUAUCAGCCGUUUCUCCAGAGUCAUUGAGUCUCAAAAAAUCUAGAUCUGGAAGGUAACUUCUACCUCGCUUAGAGUUUUCGCGCAAUCAAAUACCCAUUUAUAAUAUGGACAGUGAGAUUACAGAUAUUCAGGAAGGCUCAUCUUUGAUAUCACCUUUCCGGUUAUCAUUGGGAAGAAAAUGAGAGGUGGAAAAAUGAUUGUACUGAGAACAAUGCAGAAAUUAUAAAUAGUGAAGACUGAAGUUUGAAGAGUGCAAGGGAAAGAAACAAUUAGGGGAGGGUAGUGUACAACAGAACAGACAGAUGGUAUAUAUUUGGGAAUCAUGGAGACGGGAGAAUAGGUAGGUAUGUGGAUGUUGGGAAACUGGAGUAGAUUGUGGGUGGCCUUUGGCAUAGAAAGGACUGCUCCAUUGUAGAUCCUUGUUGUUCAGUCUUUUUUCCUUUUCUAUCUUUUGUGUUUUGUUCUUGACUCUAGAAGGAGCUGAGCUCCCUUGGUUAGAUAAAUAACACUCUUCGAUCUUCAGUUUACAUACCAUUUCUCCGAUCUUAAUAUUUCUAUUAUGUUGUUGCUCAUGAUCUUGUUUUUCACGGUGUGGUUGCUGUUUUCUAUCUGUUUUAGUGCUGGUUUUUCCGAUUACGUGGUUGCUUUUAUGGUACCUCAAUAUACAGUCUACAGGGUGUCCAGAGCUCGAAUUACUCUGUUGUUUAACAUUCUGGCAUAUAUUUUGAUAACUUGUUUUCUUGCAUGUUAUUGCAAUAGAAAACUGUUAAAAUUUACCCAUCACAGUGUAUGUUUUGAUUGUGAAAAGAAAUGUGUUGGGCUUGUAUUCAUUGAUCAUUAUUUGGUUUGCCUAGUGAAUGGGGAAGGAAUGAAUAUUUUUCAAAUGUUAUCCCCUGCGAUGAUUAAUUUUGUAUAUUAGUAAUUUAGUAUUACUCAGUGAAAUCAUCCCUUGCAAUGAUUCAUUUGGUUUAAUAUUAUUGCUCGAGUCUUUGAAUAUGAUCAUCCACUUCUGGCCACCGAUAGGUUUUUGAGUCUAUUGAUAACUACUGUGUUAUGAUUUCAGAUAACUAAAUUGAGGAAUUUAAAGGACACAUAGCAUAUGAUCCAAAAAUGAAGGAAAUAAGGAGAAAAUGCUAACAGAAAUAUUCCUCAGUAUGCUAUAAGAGGCAAUGCAAAUGAUUGGCAAAGGGGUGAAGAAAAUUGAUAGAAGUCUCUCCUCUCUCUUUGGUACUCUCUAGUCUCUAGUAGAGUAAUGGCUUAAGUCUUGGACUUAGUCUUCUUUUAUCUUUCUCUUUUAUGUACUAAGAACAUCAACUCAAUUUUACCUUUGAAUGAAUAAUCAAUUUGCAAUUAUGCAUAUUUCAUAUUACCAAUUUUGAGAACCCUUACAUACUGCAACCCUUUGAACAUGGCAUAUCUGAACCAGGCUCAGCCAAUCAUGGUUUAUGUUCUGUACACAUGAUACUUUAUUGUGUAUUACUAGUAGUGUAUCAUAAUUUCAUAAAGAAGGUAAAUCUUGUAAGACGUUGCUU